AUGAGAGGAGAGAGAGAGAUAUAUUCAGUGUGUGCUCGAACUCAGCCGGCUCCUUUUCCCCAGGAAGGCCCGCUGGGGCCCCCAAGGCCAGCUCUGCGUGGCCGUGACCCCCCCAGCACCCUGCGGGGCCCUGCCCGAGGCGGCAGCGAGGGCACGGCCGGGCCGGGGCCGGCCUCAAGGGCACGGCGGGGCGGCACCGGACAGCGCCGGGCCGCGGCUCCCCGUCUGUCCGUGUAUAUGUACGGGGGGCCCGGGGCUGCCGCCUCCCCCCCGCAGCACGGCCCCGGCCCCGCCGNNNNNNNNNNNNNNNNNNNNGGGACGGGGCCCGUCGUGGGCCGGCCCCGCUGGGCGGCGGGCCCCGGGCGGGUCCCGCAGGGAACGGUUCCUUCCCCCGCCGCACCGCCUGCCCGGGGCAUGCCGCCCGCCUGUAGCGUAGGGAGCAGGCACGGCUGCGGCGGUGGGGGAGCCUUGACAGAACCAAGCAAGAAGCUGGCAGGCAGCUGCUGUCUGAACCUGUAAGUGGUCGGGAUUUGGUGCUCAGCAUCGUGUUGGGGUGCGUCUUGGAAAGAACCUGCUGUUUUUGGAAAGAAUCCGCGUGUUCGCCUCUAGCUAAUGCUGUCGAAAUAGCAGCUUUAGAGGGUGAGCGCUGUUUAUCAGAAACAAGGAAAAGCCGAGGAAAAAUGAUGUUUCUGGGAGCGUGGUGCAUGCUGUAAAGUUUUCCUGUAACCACUCGGUACUGCUGCUUGAUUUCGCCGUGUCCUGUUCUGCCUCUGCUUGCCUGGAAUGCACCGCUCCCUGCCAGCCACCCCUGGAGCAAGCCGGUGUCUCUCAGCCCUGGGAUUCAAGAGAAGAGGCUUAAAUUGCUGCUGACUGAUGGCGGGACAAAAAAAAGCCUAUGCCUGGAGAUAGGAAAUGCAAGGCUUAGAGGCCGAAGGUGUCAGAAAUCAGUGGGGAACGCGCAUGCAAAAUAUCUGAAAUUAGUAGAGAAAGCGACUAUGAAAGGAAUGCUGUGAGCAUGUGAGGGACCCGGGAUAAACGGAGUUAGGAGUGUGUGAAGUAAUAGGUUUGGCUGCUUAUGGUGGCUGGGUGCACCAGUGAGAAAGCUGUAGAGGAGAUGGGCUUAUGAGUGCUGGAUUCUUGAAGUAAGCUGGGGGGAUAGAACCAAGGAACUGUGUAUUUAAGUUUCUUAAUUCAUAGUUUUUAUCAGACAAUAAAUAAACUUCCAAUCUGCA
rnacentral:lncRNA from 1 species